UCUGAAUCUGCGUACGGCUCCGCAAACCAGUUGUAAACUAUAGCAAGCAUGCUCGGGAUUUGGCCCUCACGGGUUGGGUUUCGGGUGAUAAGGAUAACCCUGGUAAUUCUGAGGCUAAUACUAGAACGCAAAAACUUGACUGACCGGUUUUACUGGGAGGUUGGGGGGCGUGCAAGUGGGUUUCGCAUAGGAUAACCGGGAAGGGGUGCACGUUUGGACCGCGAUAAAGACAGACUGGUUUCGGCCGGCCUGAGCGGCACUUGCGUUGUGCUUCUGACCUAUCAACUAGAUGGCAGCGUAACGG
rnacentral:rRNA from 1 species